rnacentral:rRNA from 1 species
UACGGGGGGUGCGAGCGUUGUCCGGAAUCACUGGGCGUAAAGGGCGCGUAGGUGGUUUGAUAAGGGUGUGGUGAAAGUCCGGAGCUCAACUCCGGAUCUGCCGUGCCGACUGUCAAACUCGAGGGCUGUAGAGGCAGACGGAAUUCCGGGUGUAGCGGUGGAAUGCGUAGAGAUGUGGAGGAAUACCGAUGGCGAAGGCAGCCCCCUGGGCUAAGAUUGACGCUCAUGCACGAAAGCGUGGGGAGCAAACAGG